GUGUGGUCAGGGGUUGGUGCUCGGGGAAAGGCCACCUGGGGUCUGCACAAGUCUUCUCCCCCCAGCCCUCACCCCUACUCCCUAGCCCCGGCUCCCUCCCCACCAAGGUUUCCGGAGCCGCCACCCACAGAGCAGCCUCAGGGCUGGGGCUGAGUCACAGGCUGUGGUACACGCCAGGGGGGCGAGGGUGGCAGAUGGCUUGACGUGGGUGAGAGUGGGGAGGGAAGGGCCUGUGGGAGGGGGCAGUGACCCUGGGCCCAGUAGGGAGGGAUUCGAGGAAGUGACCUAGGAGGUGGGCCGGGUUCUAUGUCGAGCCCCCCCAACCCCCUGCUCUUCCUUUCUCGGUUUCCGGGGAUGCCAUUCCUGUAGGGGCAGCCAGCCGUAGCCAGGUUGGGGUAGAGAGUGACCCUGAGGGGGCCUGAGGCCCAGGGCUUCCGCACAGCCUGCCUGGCCCCGCUGGUCCGGCCGUGGGAGGCAGAGCCUGGCUGUGUUUACCCAGGCCGGGCACUUCCGGAGCAGAUGGGCGCCUGUCAGCGCUGCCAGCCAGGAACUGGGCUGACAUCCUCUCAAUGCCAAGUGGCAGAGUUUUGGAGGCCUUUGGGACAGAGGGAAGACUUUGGACUCCCACUCAGGAUAAAGGUACAAAUGCACACACCUGCCUUCCAAUACCCAUCCUCCUUUUCUUGGGUUCCAGGGAAGGCUUUCUGGGAGCCAAAGAAUGCCUGCCCUGGGGUCGAAGGAGGUCGCAGCUGCUUGGCAUCCCAGCGCUUGGGAGCUUAGGGGUUGCCACUCAGGUCAACGAUCUGGGGAGAGUUUCCUCAGUUCAGACUGUUGUCAGUGUGUGCAUGGUCGGUAGGGUAGGCAUGACUGGGGUAGGGGUGUGGAGGGCCCAAGAAAAAGAUGCUUUCAUGUGGUGUGAACAUGUUUUUUUAUGUGUUUGGUUUUUUGUUUUUUUCACUUGCUUCAAUAGCCACCACACCAGAGACAUCGUUGAGAGGAGACCCAGAGCCUGAGUUCUCCAAGGACAAACCCUGAGCAGAUAACAGUGGCUUCUUCUGGAGAGGGCUCUAGCACUGGGGGCCUCAGGGGAGGAUUUUCCUUGUUGCUCCCUGUAUUUUGGUAUGAUUUGACCUUUUCUGAUGAGAAUGUACCUAAAUAUUAAUUUUGUAUGAAAUAAAAGUUUUUCAAAGAAAGGCUCUGGUAUUCUG
ensembl:lncRNA